rnacentral:lncRNA from 1 species
AUGAUGCCGGGGAGGCAAACACCUCGACAUGAGCGACGCCUGGGCUGUGCUCCAAGCCGUGAUACACGAACCGUGUGGCUCAUCCCACAGGUUAUUCCCCCAAAGGUGCCAGCUCCUGAAAGCCUGGGCUUUGCCCAAGGAGGUCACCACUGUGGGGCUUCUCCUGAGAUAUCUGGUCUCCUUCAAAGUGGCAUCCACAGGAGGGUUCAUUAUCAAAUGAUUUCCAUGAGGUCGUGAGGUUUCCAGCAGUGAACGGAGCAUCUCAGC